ACUGUCCAGACCUGUUUCCCAAAGCAGCCAGGGCGGGAACGUGUGGGAAAGAACCUUGGGGUCCCGGGUUUGGACGGGCGGAACGUCUCCGCUCCCCUGGGCUCUGCUCGCUCUCUGCCGUGUCACUCUUGCUCUGGCUUAUCACUGGGGAAACCGGAGAGGCCAGGACGCCAGGCCCGGAAUAGGAAGGGAGCAGGGAGCAGGGCCAAGGACGCGCGGAAGGUAGCGCAGCGGAGAGCGGCAGGCCCGGGCAGAGGUGCGGCAGCGCCACGUCCAGGAGCGAGGACCCCAAGCUGAAGAGGCCUCGGCUGUCUAUGGGAACACUGUCCUCCUAGCCUGCCUUCUUCCCAGGCUACCCUCAGCAGUCCUGGUUCCUCUGUCUGGAGCUGCCGCCGGAUAAACUUACCUUCAAGCAGGCUUGGCCUACUGCCCUCCACAGAGUCCCUCUCAGAGCGAUAAUCUAGCAGCCUUCUCCUGGGAAAUCAGGAACCAAAAACCUUGGUGUUUCUUCCAUCUGAUUUUCUGGGCAUGCAGGAAAGAGGGUUGGUCACCCAACUUUUUACAAAAACUCUAGUCUGCUCAGCCUCCCAGUGAGUCGCCACGUGACGGGAGGGGAUGGAUCAAAACUGAGUUUUCUUAGCCACUGAAGUCUGACCCCCGCUAAACUUCCUGGCCUUUGAAUAAACACAACAGAGACCA